rnacentral:lncRNA from 1 species
AUUUAGUCUGCUGAAAGAGAAUGUAGGAAAAUCACUGUCUCAUCCAAACAAUCAUGUGUGUGAUAGCUGUGGAGACAAAUACCACUGUGAUGACUCAGUGUUUUAUAAGAAGAUGACAGUGAGAGGGAAAACCCAGCUAAAGGUAAAAACAAAACCAACGAUGAUAGUGAUAGGACAAGGGGGAAUAGUUUUAAACUAAGACUGGGGAGAUGUAGGUUAGAUAUUAGGAGGAAGUUUUUCACUCAGAGGGUGGUGACGCACUGGAGCAGGUUGCCCAGAGAGGUUGUGGAUGCCCUAUCCCUGGAGGUAUUUAAGGCCAGGCUGCGUGUGGCUCUGGGCAGCCUGGUCUAGUGGUUGGUGACCCUGCACACAGCAGUGGGGAUGAAACUUGAUGAUCUUUGAGGUCCUUUUUAGCCUGGUCCAUUCUAUGAUCCUGUGAUUCUAUGAUGAACAACCCCUGUGAUAAAACAUGAAAAAAACCACAGUCGUAAUGUAAAUGCCAACUGUAAGAUGACAACACGAUUUCCAACAGUUUUAGUCACAUCCUGUGCAAUUAACAAGCAUUUCAGCUUUUAUAAUUUUAUAAAAUUAUAAUUGUUUUAUAACCUUGCUUGGAGCCAAAGCCAGCAUUUUGCUGCUGCAUGAGGUGAGGUGCAGCAGCUGCCUGACUUGGCUUUGGGCGGGAAAGCCCCUCAGUGCCACCCCAGCAACUGCACGUGAUGGGUGCACCUGUCGAUGAGGGCAUCUGUGGGUGUCCCAGCAACAUCCCACUGCCUCCUUCCCCACCCAGUGAUUCAGCCCCAGGUCCCAAAGUUGCCCCUGCUCCUCCUCCCCAGGCUUGUUGCAGUUCUCGGCAGCCAUGACUGAGGUAGGGGGCUCGUUUGGCUUCCCGCCAUUUUCUAAUUGCGACAAAAUGGCGGCGGGUGCCCUGUGCCUCAGCUCCCUCAGCAGCUCCUGCCCCAGAGAGGAGCUUCCGCCUGGGUUACAUCAGCCUUUGGAGUCUGAAGGACCUGAUCCUUCCCUUUCUCCUACUCUGCAACAACCUGGUGGUGCGGCUGAGCGAUUGCUGGAGAGACCACUAGAGAGCAGCAGAGACUGUGUUAAAGCAUCCGUCCCUCGUCUUAAAUGA